rnacentral:rRNA from 1 species
GGUUAAGUUAGAAAGGGCGCACGGUGAAUGCCUUGGCACUAGGAGCCGAUGAAGGACGGUACUAACACCGAUAUGCUUCGGGGAGCUGUAAGUAAGCUU